rnacentral:rRNA from 1 species
GACGAACGCUGGCGGCGCGCUUAACACAUGCAAGUCGAGCGAGAACCAGCCCUUCGGGGCGUGGGAAAGCGGCGAACGGGUGAGUAACACGUGGGUAAUCUGCCCUCGGCACCGGAAUAGCCCGGGGAAACCCGGGAUUAAUGCCGGAUGGCCUCUCGAGCCCUCGAGCUCGUGAGAAAAGGUAGCUUCGGCCUCCGGCCGAGGAUGAGCCCGCGGUCGAUUAGCUUGUUGGUGAGGUAAUGGCNCACCAAGGCGACGAUCGAUAGCUGGUCUGAGAGGACGAUCAGCCACACUGGGACUGAGACACGGCCCAGACUCCUACGGGAGGCAGCAGUGGGGAAUCUUGCGCAAUGGGCGAAAGCCUGACGCAGCGACGCCGUGUG